rnacentral:tRNA from 1 species
GCCGAUGUAGCUCAUCAGUUGGCAGAGCGACGCACUCGUAACGCGUAGGUCAUCAGUUCGAUUCUGAUCAUCGGCUCCA